GUCUACGGCCAUGCCACCCUGAACAUGCAUGAUCCCGUCUGAUCUCGGAAGCUAAGCAGGGUCGAGCCUGGUUAGUACUUAGUUGGGAGACCACCUAGGAAGACCAGGUGCUGUAGGUG
rnacentral:rRNA from 1 species